CGUAAAAAGUAACGAAAGUGAGUUAUUUGUAGUGAGGUGAAUGGACGUAGAGUCUGUCAUACAGAGUGAAGUAAGUCAGAAAGAGAAAAACAAAUACUGUAUGCUAACACAUAUAUAUGGAAUCUAAAAAAAAAAAAAAAAAGGGGGUUCUGAAGAACCUAAGGGCAGGACAGGAAUAAAGAUGAAGAUGUAGAGAAUGGACUUGAGGACAUGGGGAGGGGGAAGGGUAAGCUGGGACGAAGUGAGAGAGUAGCAUUGACACAUAUAUAUAUACUACCAAAUGUAAAAUAGAUAGCUAGUGGGAAGCAGCUGCGUAGCACAGGGAGAUCAGCUCGGUGUUUUGUGACCACCUAGAGGGGUGGGAUAGCAAGGGUAGGAGGGAGAUGCAAGAGGGAGGAGAUAGGGGAUAUAUGUAUAUAUAUAGCUGAUUCACUUUGUUAUAAAGCAGAAACUAACAUACCAUUGUAAAGCAAUUAUACUCCAAUAAAGAUGUUAAAAAAAGUCAAAAAAAUAAAAAUAGAAACAACAGGGGCUUCCCUGGUGGCGCAGUGGUUGAGAGUCCACCUGCCGAUGCAGGGGACACGGGUUCGUGACCCGGUCCAGGAAGAUCCCACAUGCCGCGGAGCAGCUGGGCCCGUGAGCCAUGGCCGCUGAGCCUGC